UACAGAGGUCUCAAGCGUUGUCCGGAAUCAUUGGGCGUAAAGCGCGUGUAGGCGGCCCGGUAAGUCCGCUGUGAAAGUCGGGGGCUCAACCCUCGGAUGCCGGUGGAUACUGUCGGGCUCGAGUACGGAAGAGGCGAGUGGAAUUCCUGGUGUAGCGGUGAAAUGCGCAGAUAUCAGGAGGAACACCAAUUGCGAAGGCAGCUCGCUGGGACGUUACUGACGCUGAGACGCGAAAGCGUGGGGAGCAAACAGG
rnacentral:rRNA from 1 species